UUAUGGCCAUAGCACGUUGAAACACCGGUUCCCACUCGAUCACCGAAGCUAAACAACGUCGAGCCUGGUCAGUAACUAGAUGGCUGAUCACUUAGGAAUACUUGUUG